UACGUAGGGGGCAAGCGUUGUCCGGAUUCAUUGGGCGUAAAGAGCGUGUAGGCGGCCAGGUAGGUCGGUUGUGAAAACUGGAGGCUCAACCUUCAGAGGUCGACCGAAACCAUCUGGCUAGAGUCCGGGAGAGGAGAGUGGAAUUCCUGGUGUAGCGGUGAAAUGCGCAGAUAUCAGGAAGAACACCCGUGGCGAAAGCGGCUCUCUGGAACGGUACUGACGCUGAGACGCGAAAGCUAGGGGAGCAAACAGG
rnacentral:rRNA from 1 species